rnacentral:rRNA from 1 species
AUCGCGAUGGGCGAAGCCUGUCAGCAAUGCCGCGUGCAGGAAGAAGGCCUUCGGGUUGUAAACUGCUUUUGUACGGAACGAAACGGUCUGCCCUAAUACGGCGGGCUAAUGACGGUACCGUAAGAAUAAGCACCGGCUAACUACGUGCCAGCAGCCGCGGUAAUACGUAGGGUGCGAGCGUUAAUCGGAAUUACUGGGCGUAAAGCGUGCGCAGGCGGUUAUGUAAGACAGUUGUGAAAUCCCCGGGCUCAACCUGGGAAUUGCAUCUGUGACUGCAUAGCUAGAGUACGGUAGAGGGGGAUGGAAUUCCGCGUGUAGCAGUGAAAUGCGGAGAUAUGCGGAGGAACACCGAUGGCGAAGGCAAUCCCCUGGACCUGUACUGACGCUCAUGCACGAAA